rnacentral:rRNA from 1 species
GUACCGUACGAACGUUAUUCGGAAUCACUGGGCUUAAAGGGUGCGUAGGCGGCGUGGUCAGUUGGGUGUGAAAUCCCUCGGCUCAACCGAGGAACUGCGCCCAAUACUGCCACACUCGAGGGAGACAGAGGUAAGCGGAACUGAUGGUGGAGCGGUGAAAUGCGUUGAUAUCAUCAGGAACACCAGUGGCGAAAGCGGCUUACUGGGUCUCUUCUGACGCUGAGGUACGAAAGCUAGGGGUAGCGAACGGGAUUAGAUACCCCGGUAGUCCUAGCUGUAAACGAUGAGCACUUGGUCGGAGACUCCUCCAUAGGUUUCCGGUCGUAGCGAAAGUGUUAAGUGCUCCGCCUGGGGAGUAUGGUCGCAAGGCUG